AACCUUUGAGAAGAUCUUUAGUACAGAUUGGCACCAUCCAUAUUCUCGUCAUUGUUUUCAUUUGAUACACUGAUCAUGAAGUAUUUGGAAUACACUCCUCUUGAUUGGUAAUUGUUAAACUUUCUAUCUUAAGCAGAAGCAUGCUAAUACACUUGAUUGGGUACAGUCCCUCAUGCGGUUUGAUCAGUAUUAUGCUCUUAUCAUUUUUUUUUCUUUUAAUUUUUUUGUUACUUUCGUUCAGUUUCUUUUGUAUAGUAAGUAGUAAUUUGUCAUGUCAUCCAGUAUAAGUGAUUUCUUAAGUCAUGUAAAUCUUGGAGAGCGUACCAUCAAAGGAUGCCUUGAAGCUUACUCUUGCAAACAUACAGGAAGUGAUAAGAAGUUGUCUCUCAGCUUGGAGCAUGAGAUUCUAGAUUAUCUUGGAAAAUCAUCAGACACUGACUCGUCAUCACCAAUG